rnacentral:rRNA from 1 species
GACGAACGCUGGUGGCGUGCUUAACACAUGCAAGUCGAACGGAAAGGCCCUGCUUUUGUGGGGUGCUCGAGUGGCGAACGGGUGAGUAACACGUGAGUAACCUGCCCUUGACUUUGGGAUAACUUCAGGAAACUGGGGCUAAUACCGGAUAGGAGCUCCUGCUGCAUGGUGGGGGUUGGAAAGUUUCGGCGGUUGGGGAUGGACUCGCGGCUUAUCAGCUGUUGGUGUGGUAGUGGCUUACCAAGGCUUUGACGGGUAGCCGGCCUGAGAGGGUGACCGGCCACAUUGGGACUGAGAUACGGCCCAGACUCCUACGGGAGGCAGCAGUGGGGAAUAUUGCACAAUGGGCGGAAGCCUGAUGCAGCAACGCCGCGUGCGGGAUGACGGCCUUCGGGUUGUAAACCGCUUUCGCCUGUGACGAAGCGUGAGUGACGGUAAUGGGUAAAGAAGCACCGGCUAACUACGU